AGUUAUUUAGCUUAUAUUAAAGCAUAUAUUUUGAAAAUAUAAGAAAGAAUUAUUUAAUAACUU
rnacentral:tRNA from 1 species